rnacentral:rRNA from 1 species
GACGAACGCUGGCGGCGUGCUUAACACAUGCAAGUCGAACGGAAAGGCCCUGCUUUUGUGGGGUGCUCGAGUGGCGAACGGGUGUGUAACACGUGAGUAACCUGCCCUUGACUUUGGGAUAACUUCAGGAAACUGGGGCUAAUACCGGAUAGGAGCUCCUGCUGCAUGGUGGGGGUUGGAAAGCUUCGGCGGUUGGGGAUGGACUCGCGGCUUAUCAGCUUGUUGGUGGGGUAGUGGCUUACCAAGGCUUUGACGGGUAGCCGGCCUGAGAGGGUGACCGGCCACAUUGGGACUGAGAGACGGCCCAGACGCCUACGGGAGACAGAAGGGGGGAAUAUGGCACAAUGGGCGGAAGCCUGAUGCAGCAGCGCCGCGUGCGGGAUGACGGCCUUCGGGUUGUAAACCGCUUUCGCCUGUGACGAAGCGUGAGUGACGGUAAUGGGUAAAGAAGCACCGGCUAACUACGUG